AAUGAACGCUGGCGGCGUGCUUAACACAUGCAAGUCGUGCGCGAAGGAGGCUUCGGUCUCUGGAGAGCGGCGAACGGGUGAGUAACACGUGGGUAAUCUACCUGGGAGCGGGGGAUAACCUGGGGAAACUCGGGCUAAUACCGCGUACGUUGGUGGGGUCAUGGCCCUGUCAAGAAAGCUGGCCUCUGCUUGCAAGCUAGCGCUCCUGGAGGAGCCCGCGGCUGAUUAGCUAGUUGGUGAGGUAAUGGCUCACCAAGGCAUCGAUCAGUA
rnacentral:rRNA from 1 species